GUGGCUGCCAUGAUAGGCACCAACAAGGGGCAGCCAGGUGCAGGCCAGUGCCCAGGAGCAGCGCUGGCUGGGAGUCCAGACUCCUCAUCUUAGCUCUCUUCCUCCUGCUGCUUCCAUUUCUGCACAGAAGCCUCCAUCCCUCCAAAGAGAUGCUGCUACACCUGGGACAAGUUCAUCGUCAUCCCCAUGGAUCCCCAGAAGUCCGAGGCUGAAGACUGCAGGACCUACACCCAGAAAAUCCUAGGAGCUCUGCCCUCCAUGGAGAGACCUAUGCUACCAGUGUCAACACUUAGCUGUGUCCCAGCUUCCUGCUGGGUGACCCUGGACAAGUGUCCUGCCCUCUCUGGGCCCAGUUUACCUGUCACCAGGUGAAGGGUACGCAGAAGAACUUCUUAUCCAGCCAGAGUUGUGGAGGACAGUCCAAAAUCAGCAUCACUGGGCCAAGAUCAAGGUGUCAGGUGGGCUGCAGUCCCUCCAAAAGCUCAAGAGGAGAGUCGGUUCUCUGUGGCUUCCAACUUCUGGUUGCUGCUGGCAUUCCUGGGCUUCUGGCUGCCCCACCCCAUCUCCAACUCCACCUUCACAUGGCCUCUCCUCUGUGUGUGAUGUCCCUCUGACCAUCUCUUGUGAGCACAGUGAUGGCAGUUAGGACUUGGUUGGACAAUCCAGAAAAAUCUCUGCAUCUCAAGAUCUUUAACUUCUUCACAUCUGUAAAACUUUUAUCACAUGAGGUCACAUUUACAGGUUUCCACGGAUUAGGACCUGUGCUCUUUGGGGGGAGGGGAGCGCACCAUUCAGCCCACUCCAAUUUUACUAUAUGUGCUGCUGAAGCGAGCACCAGCCCACUCCAGAUUCAGGGUAGAAGGGCCUGGAGGCUACAGGCUGACUGCGAUUUGGCCAGGUAUCCUGUGAUUCUCAAGGAUUCACUGACUCAGCAAAUGCAGGAGUAUUAGCGAGAGACAGAGGGAGGUGAGAGACAGAGGGAGGCGUAAAGGGUCCACACUAGAGAGGUCCUGGUGGGGAGAAACUGAGGCACCUCCCAACAGCCAACACCAAUUUGCUGGCCUCCUGAGUAAGCCUCCUUGCAACUGGACUGUGCACGUGUUAAGUCUUUGGAUGACUGCAGCCCCAGUCUGAACCUCAUGAGAGAUCCAGGGCCAGAACCACCCAGAAGUGCCCAGCUAAGCCUAACUUUCUGAGCCUCAGUAACAUUGAUUUUUGCUUUAAACUGUUAAUGUUUGGGGCACCUGGGUGGUUCAGUUGGUUAAGCAUCUGCCUUUGCCUCAGGUCAUGAUGCUGGGGUCCUGGGAUUGAGCCCCACAUCAGGUUCCUUGCUCCUUGGGGAGUCUGCUUCUCCCUCUCCCUCUGCCCUCCUCCCUGCUUGUGUGCUUACGCUCUUUCUCUCUCUGUCAAAUAAAUCAAUCAAAUCUUAAAAAAAAAAAAGCUGUUAAAGUUUGAGUCAUCUGGGCAGUAACUAA